UCGGACGUGGUGCGCGGCGCACGCCUGCCCCUUUAUAACGAGGCAAAGAAGUUCUAGACGGCAGGAAACCCCGGGUUCGACUCCCGGCGUCUGGA